CACGUAGGGGGCGAGCGUUGUCCGGAUUUAUUGGGCGUAAAGAGCGUGUAGGCGGCCUUACAGGUCAGCUGUGAAAACUCGAGGCUCAACCUCGAGACGUCGGUUGAAACCGUAAGGCUAGAGUCCGGAAGAGGAGAGUGGAAUUCCCGGUGUAGCGGUGAAAUGCGCAGAUAUCGGGAAGAACACCCGUGGCGAAGGCGGCUCUCUGGGACGGUACUGACGCUGAGACGCGAAAGCGUGGGGAGCGAACAGG
rnacentral:rRNA from 1 species